GGAAUUCUCUUCCUAGGUGGAAAAACUAGCUGUGGAUGGAGAAUUUCUUCUGUUUCCGACUGCUAUAUAAUAAAGUAUGUCAAAAGAAGAGCAAGCCUGUGUGUAACAAUAAACAUGAUGAUGUUGAAUGCUUGCAUUUCACAGAAUGCUCAGGAGUCAGACUUCAGGAUACUGUGUGAUGCAGCCAUUAUCACGUUCUUCAUCCAGUGUAAGCAGUUGUUGUAGUGGUUUGAGAGAAAAUGAAACAUCUGAGGAAGAGGAGAAUGACAGGGAGCUGAUGUGCUCUCUUGAGGGCCCUCCAAAACAGGAUUCAGUGGUUCACAGCAUAUGGCUGGAUGACAGUGACUGCACACCCAGUACUUCCAGCUCACCAGGAACCAGGUUGCUUCCUUCCAGCAAUGUUGCUGGCUCCACUGGAAAAGGAAGAGAGAGCAAAGCAGAUGCACAGCACCAUAAUCCAGCUUCCAUUUUGUGCUGCGUGUGAGGUCACCGCUGGAGGACGGUGUUGGUGCGCACUGGGUGAGGAGCACAG
rnacentral:lncRNA from 1 species